AAAAUCAUAUAUGAGGCCACAGGCCACUACAUUUAUAUAUAGAAUUCAUAAACUGACUCUCUAACAGUUCUAAACUAACUUGGAAUUCAAACUACUACUUGGAAUAGUCAAAAAAGACUUGUAUUUGACACUCCUACUCAAACUAGGACUCU